CUACAUAUCUUGGUAGGAUCAAGAAUUCUCAAAAUGUCUUGAUAUGCCACCUGUUUAUUGCUUUUCAGCACAAACAAUGAACUCUCAGGGGAGAGCACAGGAUCAAAAUCAUUCCUGAUUUUUAGAUGUGCAUGAACAAGAUGUGGCUCAAUGUACUGCUGGAACAUUGGAAACACUGUUGUCAUAAUUUCAUUUUGGGACAUAAAGCAGCCAACUCUACUCUUGUCUCUUUGAACUCGAGAAAGAAGAUGCGAAUGCACACCUCCAACAACAGCAAUCCACAAAUCCAGUGAUUUUCUGAUGUCGGGGUGCAAAGCAUAAACACCUUCAAAG
rnacentral:misc_RNA from 1 species